rnacentral:lncRNA from 1 species
UGGGUGACAUACUCUGAGGAUAGUCUUAUCUUAAAAAUAUACGAACUCCAGCCUGUUUAUUCGUGCAGUGCCUGCACAGCCCUGGCUGCAGCCGGUGUGAACUCCGGAGCAGAGGCUGGAGAAUGGCUGGAAGAUCAGCAACUCCUGGAACACACGAGCUACUCGAUAAUACCUCGCUGACGUGGCUGCCCAGGACGUCAGUCCCUGGCUAUGGAAACACACCUGGCUGCCAUUGCCUGGAGAGACUGCCAGGAUACCAAGGCUUUGUGAUAGCUGCAUGACGAGCUGUAAACACCAUCUGUGGUUCAUGCGAAGCUUCCUUCACCUCAAAACAAAAGCAAACACAGUUUCUUACCAAGACAGUUUGUUUGAGUGAAGUAUUAUUACUAAGUGACAGCACAACAUCUGUGCACCUACCACAAAAGGCCUCAACUUCAUUCCUUCCAUGUUAAAAGAAAGAAAAUGCCCCUGAGUGCCAAAGUAACCAGACUUCUCAUUAUGUUGGAAAAGCUGCCAAGUGUGACUGACAAAUGGAGCUAAAUAA